UACGAAGGGGGCUAGCGUUGCUCGGAAUCACUGGGCGUAAAGCGCACGUAGGCGGCUUCUUAAGUCAGGGGUGAAAUCCUGGAGCUCAACUCCAGAACUGCCCUUGAUACUGAGAGGCUCGAGUCCGGGAGAGGUGAGUGGAACUGCGAGUGUAGAGGUGAAAUUCGUAGAUAUCGGGAGGAACACCAGUGGCGAAGGCGACUACCUGGCCUGUUCUUGACGCUGAGGCGCGAAAGCUAGGGGAGCAAACGGG
rnacentral:rRNA from 1 species